rnacentral:rRNA from 1 species
AUCCUACGGGGGGCAGCAGUAGGGAAUCUUCCACAAUGGACGAAAGUCUGAUGGAGCAACGCCGCGUGAGUGAAGAAGGGUUUCGGCUCGUAAAGCUCUGGUGGUAGUGAAGGAAGAUAGAGGUAGUAACUGGCCUUUAUUUGACGGUAAUUACUUAGAAAGUCACGGCUAACUACGUGCCAGCAGCCGCGGUAAUACGUAGGUGGCAAGCGUUGUCCGGAUUUAUUGGGCGUAAAGCGAGUGCAGGCGGUUCAAUAAGUCUGAUGUGAAAACCUUUGGCUCAAACGGAGAAUUGCAUCAGAAAA